rnacentral:rRNA from 1 species
UAAAAAAAGGUAAGCUACUAAGAGCGAAUGGUGGAUGCCUUGACUGGUAAAGGCGAUGAAGGACGUACUAGACUGCGAUAAGCUACGGGGAGCUGUCAAGAAGCUUUGAUCCGUAGAUUUCCGAAUGGGGCAACCCAAUGUAUAGAGAUAUACAUUACCUAUAUAGGAGCGAACGAGGGGAAUUGAAACAUCUUAGUACCCUCAGGAAAAGAAAUCAAUAGAGAUUGCGUCAGUAGCGGCGAGCGAAAGCGCAAGAGGGCAAACCCAGUGCUUGCACUGGGGGUUGUAGGACUGCAAUGUGCAAGAGCUGAGUUUAGCAGAACAUUCUGGAAAGUAUAGCCAUAGAGGGUGAUAGUCCCGUAUGCGAAAAACAAAGCUUAGCUAGCAGUAUCCUGAGUAGGGCGGGACACGAGGAAUCCUGUCUGAAUCCGGGUCGACCACGAUCCAACCCUAAAUACUAAUACCAGAUCGAUAGUGCACAAGUACCGUGAGGGAAAGGUGAAAAGAACUGAGGUGAUCAGAGUGAAAUAGAACCUGAAACCAUUUGCUUACAAUCAUUCAGAGCACUAUGUAGCAAUACAGUGUGAUGGACUGCCUUUUGCAUAAUGAGCCUGCGAGUUGUGGUGUCUGGCAAGGUUAAGCAAACGCGAAGCCGUAGCGAAAGCGAGUCUGAAUAGGGCGCUUAGUCAGAUGCUGCAGACCCGAAACGAAGUGAUCUAUCCAUGAGCAAGUUGAAGCUAGUGUAAGAACUAGUGGAGGACUGAACCCAUAGGCGUUGAAAAGCCCCGGGAUGACUUGUGGAUAGGGGUGAAAGGCCAAUCAAACUUCGUGAUAGCUGGUUCUCUCCGAAAUAUAUUUAGGUAUAGCGUUGUGUCGUAAUAUAAGGGGGUAGAGCACUGAAUGGGCUAGGGCAUACACCAAUGUACCAAACCCUAUCAAACUCCGAAUACCUUAUAUGUAAUCACAGCAGUCAGGCGGCGAGUGAUAAAAUCCGUCGUCAAGAGGGAAACAACCCAGACUACCAGCUAAGGUCCCUAAAUCUUACUUAAGUGGAAAACGAUGUGAAGUUACUUAAACAACCAGGAGGUUGGCUUAGAAGCAGCCAUCCUUUAAAGAAAGCGUAAUAGCUCACUGGUCUAGUGAUUUUGCGCGGAAAAUAUAACGGGGCUAAAGUAAGUACCGAAGCUGUAGACUUGCACACAACUUAGAUUAUUUAAGUUUAGAAUAUGAGAAACUAAGUUAUAUGUUUAGUUAUAUUUUUACUGAUUUUUAUAGAGUAAAGAUAGAAAUAAAACUUAGUAAAAUCAGUAAAAAUAUUCUUAGGCUAAAGUUAAGUAGUUUAAGUUGUGUGCAAGUGGUAGGAGAGCGUUCUAUUUGCGUCGAAGGUAUACCGGUAAGGAGUGCUGGAGCGAAUAGAAGUGAGCAUGCAGGCAUGAGUAGCGAUAAUUAAUGUGAGAAUCAUUAACGCCGUAAACCCAAGGUUUCCUACGCGAUGCUCGUCAUCGUAGGGUUAGUCGGGUCCUAAGUCGAGUCCGAAAGGGGUAGACGAUGGCAAAUUGGUUAAUAUUCCAAUACCAACAUUAGUGUGCGAUGGAAGGACGCUUAGGGCUAAGGGGGCUAGCGGAUGGAAGUGCUAGUCUAAGGUUGUAGGAGGUUAUACAGGCAAAUCCGUAUAACAAUACUCCGAGAACUGAAAGGCUUUUUGAAGUCUUCGGAUGGAUAGAAGAACCCCUGAUGCCGUCGAGCCAAGAAAAGUUUCUAAGUUUAGCUAAUGUUGCCCGUACCGUAAACCGACACAGGUGGGUGGGAUGAGUAUUCUAAGGCGCGUGGAAGAACUCUCUUUAAGGAACUCUGCAAAAUAGCACCGUAUCUUCGGUAUAAGGUGUGGUUAGCUUCGUACUAGGAUUUACUCCGAAAGCGAAGAAACUUACAACAAAGAGUCCCUCCCGACUGUUUACCAAAAACACAGCACUCUGCUAACUCGUAAGAGGAUGUAUAGGGUGUGACGCCUGCCCGGUGCUCGAAGGUUAAUUGAUGGGGUUAGCAUUAGCGAAGCUCUUGAUCGAAGCCCGAGUAAACGGCGGCCGUAACUAUAACGGUCCUAAGGUAGCGAAAUUCCUUGUCGGUUAAAUACCGACCUGCAUGAAUGGCGUAACGAGAUGGGAGCUGUCUCAAAGAGGGAUCCAGUGAAAUUGUAGUGGAGGUGAAAAUUCCUCCUACCCGCGGCAAGACGGAAAGACCCCGUGGACCUUUACUACAGCUUGACACUGCUACUUGGAUAAGAAUGUGCAGGAUAGGUGGGAGGCUUUGAGUAUAUGACGCCAGUUGUAUAUGAGCCAUUGUUGAGAUACCACUCUUUCUUAUUUGGGUAGCUAACCAGCUUGAGUUAUCCUCAAGUGGGACAAUGUCUGGUGGGUAGUUUGACUGGGGCGGUCGCCUCCCAAAUAAUAACGGAGGCUUACAAAGGUUGGCUCAGAACGGUUGGAAAUCGUUCGUAGAGUAUAAAGGUAUAAGCCAGCUUAACUGCAAGACAUACAAGUCAAGCAGAGACGAAAGUCGGU